UGUGUGUGUUUGCGUGUAUGUCACAUGGAUGCACUUAGUAUAUGGCCCUGUCUUCUAGUUUGUUUCUGGAAAGGGAAGUGAUUGACUUUGAUUUCUGCUUCUGGUUUUUGGCAGACUUUUGUUCCCAUCAACAAGGGCAAUAUCACUAAAUCAGAGCCACACAGUCAAUGGAGUUAGCCAAGUGCCGAUGCUGAGCGGUCAGUGACAUCAAUCAUAGUCCUUCAGCCCAUCAGUAUCCAAGUGGGGACAGGCUAGAGAGCUAAUCACAGUGGAGGACAGUUCACCGAAAGAUGCUGAAAGGUAGAUGGCCUCUCUCAGGAUUAUUUUACUCAUCAUGACCUCGGAUGUAUAACCCUUCAAAGAGGAGGUAUGGAGUCUACAACCAAACCUGUGACAAAGUUGACCUCCAAGCUGUUAGUUUUCAACUAAAACUCAAGCAGGAUAUGUCAAAUGUCCUGAGUGCAGUGGAUCCUCUGGUAUGUGUGCAGACAUAGCCUCUUCCAGGGAGCAGACUUGCUAGCAGUCUGUCCAAGCAGAAAGGACCAAGCAGAACAGGAUUGGUACUCCACAGCAGCUUUCAUGUCCAGACUACAGGAAGUGCUAAGUGGUUCUGAAUCCUUCCAGAAAUCAACUGUUAAUAGAGAUCCCAGAGUGAGUAGACAAAACUAGAACAUAUAGGAAUGUCUUAAUGUCGCGGCUAGGUUUUGUAUUGCAGUAACAAAAGAUCAUGACCAAAAGCAACUUGCCAGCUUAUAACCCUCUUCACAGGAAGUUGGGGAAGGAACUUGGAGGAAGCUGAAGCAGAAACCAUGGGGAAGGGCUGAUUACAGAGUCUUUAUCCAAGGCUAGCUCAGCCUGCUUUCUUAUGGACCUCCACUCCUGGUCAAGGACCGUCUGAAAUGUAGGUCCUCUCACAGCAAUCGUUUAUUAAGAAAAUGAAUCACAACUUGUCCACAGGACAACCUGGUAGGGCAUUUUCCCAGUUGAGGCUCGUGUCAUCUUGGCAUAAAACCAGAUUGCACACUUAGUGACUACAUUGCGUGGCAGUGGGUUUCUAACACCCUCACAUACUGUGAACUCCACAGAGUCUAGCUGAUCCACUCAGGUACCACUUGAGGCUCCCUAAACACCCAAAGAACUGACUGGGACUGACAAGGUCUGGAAUGGGUAUAAAAGCAAGACUCUCAAAUUUUUAUGAUUUACAAGUGAUCCACUCUAAAAGAGACUAUGGACUAAUUUUAGUGAGUUUUUUUUAUCUGAAUGCCAUUUAAAUGAAUCCUGUAGAAAAGCAUUCUUUAGUAGUUCUCUCUAAAAAUAUCAGACAUAUCUUAGUUUGUCAUAUAAUAAGUUCUGUUUAUAUGCAUAAAAAUUUUUGCACCUAGAAAAAAUCGGCAUCAGAAAAAUACAAAUAACGGGCAAUAAAAAAAAUUAGAUAUGUCCUCCAUCUACCAAAUGACAUUAUAGUCUAGGCUGGUGUCUCCUCACUCUAAAAUGAGAGUGUUACGGUAUUUGGUAUGUAAGGCUCUUUCUAGCUUUGGAACUGUGCAAAAUGUGAAAUAAGAACAAAUUUUCAUAUAGUCAGUGUAGAGACAGUGUGGUGGUUUGAUUAAGAAAUGUUCUCCUUAUUGGGCCAAACAUUUGAACACUUGGUUCUUACUUACUUGUGCUGUUUUGAUAGACUAUAGGAAAGCAUAAUUUUCUGAGGAGCCACCAGAUUGAU
rnacentral:sRNA from 1 species